ACGAACGCUGGCGGCGUGCUUAACACAUGCAAGUCGCACGGAAAGGCCCUGCUUUUGUGGGGUGCUCGAGUGGCGAACGGGUGAGUAACACGUGAGUAACCUGCCCUUGACUUUGGGAUAACUUCAGGAAACUGGGGCUAAUACCGGAUAGGAGCUCCUGCUGCAUGGUGGGGGUUGGAAAGUUUCGGCGGUUGGGGAUGGACUCGCGGCUUAUCAGCUUGUUGGUGGGGUAGUGGCUUACCAAGGCUUUGACGGGUAGCCGGCCUGAGAGGGUGACCGGCCACAUUGGGACUGAGAGACGGCCCAGACUCCUACGGGAGGCAGCAGUGGGGAAUAUUGCACAAUGGGCGGAAGCCUGAUGCAGCAACGCCGCGUGCGGGAUGACGGCCUUCGGGUUGUAAACCGCUUUCGCCUGUGACGAAGCGUGAGUGACGGUAAUGGGUAAAGAAGCACCGGCUAACUACGUG
rnacentral:rRNA from 1 species